CAGGCCCAGAGCGGGAGCGGGAGCGGGAGCGGGGCCGGCGGUGCGGAUAAAACCGGGGUAAAACCGCACCGGCGCGGACAUGAAGGAAGCUAUUACAAUGGUUUCUUCCUGCAUGGAGAUACUUCUUGAAAAUCAGCUACUUUGAAACCUUUGGGUUGCCAGGCUCUUCUCUUUAAUUGGCAUCUCAAGAAUGGGUAUGUAAAGGKGGUGAUACUCGCAAAGGAUUGACAUUCAGAGUUGUCCUGUAAAUAAACUAGAAACUUCUUCAGCAUGCUCACAAAAAAGACUGAGCUGAGCUGUGUUGAAGACAGCAGGUCCCAAAAGUUGCCUUUCCUGAGGAAGCAUGAUUCUGGAACUGAAGAGCCUCUCCAUCACCACUGGCACCUUGCUAUGUGCAAAGUUUGGUUUGCAAACCAGGAAGGGACUGAUGUGAAAGAUUCUCCAUGUGAAYGGCACAGCGGAAGGUCAGACACACUGGAGAAGCCAGGAGGAGGAAGGAGGAGUACAUGAGCAAUGUGACUCCAGCCUCUGUCACUAACAUCCUCUGACAUCUCAACAGAGCAGACAAAACCUUCUCUUUACCUGGCUCCUUUUAUUUUUAAAGGAAAAGUAAACAGCUUUAAACCCUCACUUCUCCCUGUCUCCACCAUCCKGAGGGGAUGAUGAUGAUGAGGAAGGUGAUGAUGGUGACAAUGAUAAUGAURAUGAUGAUAUGAGCACAACUCACCUGCUAGCUUUGUCUGCUGGUGUAGGCUGUGUAGGCUCCUAGCACAUCCCCUUGGGUAGUUUGGGAUCUGUGUUCUUCCAGGCAGUCGUGGUGCUUGCUUACCUUCACUGCUCCUGAGGCUUAUCCAGUCUUGGGGAAAAAUGCAAAAGAGUGAAAACAAACCACACUAUAGAUUCCUGUCAGAUGUUCGCUUCUAAACACAGGCUUGAUAAAUAAUGCUUUAUCAGUAUCAAUGCCCAUCAGUGACCAUAUUGUUCAAUCUUGCAUUUGGGAGUGCUUUCCAAUUAAAAGCAAAUUGCUGAAAGAGACUUUCAAAUUGGUUUCAUUGAGGAAGAAGAAAUGAAGGGAAGCUACUUGAGAUCUGACAAUAGCUAAAGUGAUUUGUAAGCAUGAGGCACGCAAGAUAACAUUUAAUUAAYGGUGACAAAAAUAGAACAUCACUUUGAAUUUACGUAAGUUCUCUUUUUCUACGUGUGAGCAAUACCCUUUCUUUACGUUUCUCUUUUCAGAAAAAUGUGUUAACCCUCCAUUCCUGUAGAUGCUAUACCAGUCACAGGAUGGGCAGCAUUUCCCCUCCCUUUUCAAAGAUUUCAGUACUCUCAUGUAUGGCAUGUAUGGACAGUAUGUUCCAAAAAAUCUCAAUCAAAUAAUUUUCUCUAAAAAAAAUCUCUAAAGUGAUUGUAUAAUAGAAAUUGGAAAUAAAUCAUUAUAUCUGAUUGUACAGAAACUUGUUUAKCAACUGCUGCAUGAAUUUGAAACAUCUCUGUGGUUUAAUCAAGUAUUAUGCCCAGAGCACAUGGAGAAGCUGGGAUGCCUGCAACUCAGCUGACAGUUCUGGGCCCCCUGAUCAGCAGAACCAAACAAACAGGGUUUUAGUGCGAGCCAUCUGAUCCAUUUUGGAUACCUGCUGUUCCCAGGCACUGUUUCUCCCUACUGACCAGUGAGAGGGCUCUGACACAGUGGAUGACUCCAAUUAUGCUGAUUAUUCAGUGAGACAGAUCUUGAGAAGGUCUUGGCUCAGAGCACACCUCCCAGACCCAUUAUUACCCCAAGUGAUCACAACAAAUAGGAAACCACAGCCUUUGCUCAGUGCACCAUGUGAAAAUAUUGCUGUCUGCAUACAGUUUCCAUCCUGCAUCAGAAUGUCAGCAUUGAAAUGGUCCACUGAAAUGUCAGCAUUGAAAUGGUCCACUCCACUGAAAUGGUCACUAGCUUUGCACCAGAACCCUCUCCAACCUCUCUGGCAGGCUGCCCCCUGCUUUGCAGUGACACUGGGCAAAUCGCCUCUCUAAGARCACCAUUCCUGCUCACCUGCUUUGACAGUCUGAUGGUGGCUGAUGACCGAACAGCAACUGUUUAGUAGGAUCCAAGGUGUGGGACAGGGUGCCUGUCUAAUUCGGUGAUCCUCCUAAUACCCAGGGAAAACAACAGUARUAAGUAGUAAUUGUAAGUUGUAUAGGAAUUAGUAGUUAACACACUGGUAAUCCAUAACCAAUUAUGCAUGGCAAUUAAUGAAUUCUACAAGAAACAUGAGCACAUGUGGGAUCUACUUACGUGAUCUUAUUAUUCAGAAUUAAGUUGUGCUCCAGUUUUUGUGACAGUUGUUUUAAAGUUGCCAGCAGCACUGAUGAUUUUUCAAUGAAGGGGUCUCCUAAUUGUACCCUUGAGUUAUGAUGAACCAGCUUGGCCUUUUCCAAAUAAUCUUCCUUUUGCAUCUGAGGCAAUAUAGGCUCCAAAAUCUAUUUGACUUUGGUGUGUCCUCCGUAAAGCAUUCAAAUAUGUCAGACUUUUUCUGACACCUGUCAGAAGUUUUCCUCCUGCUCCAUUUUUCCUUAAUAUGAUGUUAAGGACAACUGUCCAAAUCAGCCAAGAGAUGGGAGCACCCUCUCAUGGAUCAUGUUUCUCAAUUAAGCUGGUUUUGAAUAAAUGCAAGCCACAACCACUGGGACAAAUCCCCCAAGACUGAGUCCAGUUCAUUCUUCAUUUUAGAUUAGAUCACCUAAACACCAUUACCACUGUAUCCUCAGCUAAAAUUGUGCCAUCCACUGCCUACAGAGAUUGACAGCUCAGAUAAGCUGAGAAUGAGCAKGUUUUGUAUUUUUGUAAUGCCCAUUAUCUGUGUUCAAUCGAACCAGAUUAUGAUAGUACACAUAGAGCAAUUUCCAUGUUUUGUGAAGAAUCUAUUUCUAACAUGAAAAAUACUGUAUUCGGACAGGUAGGGCUGAUAUAGCUGUAGUGACAAAUGGAUCAGCCAAAAACAAUCUCCUUCCAAAAAUAGCUACAUGUUUGGAUGUAACGAGAUGAUAAAUGUGGGUGUCAGCAGCAUUAAGAAUGGGCUUUAUUACGCAGGGAUGGCUCUGUGAAGCUUCCCAGUUUUACUUUUUUUCUGCCUCUUAUUUUGAGGAUCUUCCUGUUUCUAAGCUGGUCUUUUCUAUUUUUCGUCACCUCCUUUACUUAAUGGAGCCCUAUGUACUUUCGUGGGAGUCUUUUUUCGCCAGUUAUGAUAGUAAUGUUGCUUCUUCCCAAAGCUUCAGCUCAACCCAGGAGCUUGCAGCAAUAUGAAGUCAAAGGACUUUUAGUACAAUAAAAAAUUGACUACACAUUCCCAAAAGUGARUCUGGAGCUCUACUGAUUAAACAGUUAGAGACCCUGCUUGGUUGUCACUUAAUUUGGGACACUUCAUUUUUAGCUUCCAAUUAGUUGUUUUACCUGGCAGAAUGAAGGAGAAUUUAUUGUAACUCAAAUUCAGUUAUGGCAGAGUAAGAAGUGUGUUAUCAACUUCAUUUGCCUUGCAAAAUGGCCAGAUUUCCAAACAAAAAUAUUUUUAAAAGAAACCAGAAACUUGGGUCUAUGUUUGGACCACCUUCAAAAGAUGCCCAGUUUAAUGAUCAGUUUACUACAACACCUGAAUUUGAGUAGGAUUAAAACCAACAGCUACUUCGAGGUAUUGCUGGUUUUGUCGUGCCUUCGURUGCUCACAGCAAUGACAACGAAGUGCUUUGAACCUGCUUGUUGUUCUAUGUGCUUGGUGUAUUCCUUAGGCCCAAAAAACUCACCAAAAGAAUAUUUUUCUCUUUUAAAUAUAGACUUCCUAAUUCAAAAGCUUGUGAAAUCUUUUCAGAGCGGUUAGGGCUUGAUUUCAUCCCCACACGUGCAGCUCCAUACUAAGGAUUUUUUUGAAUCUACAAAACCCACAUUCAGAUACUUCCAAUAUCAGGAGAUGCCUGGUUUGGCUUGAAGUAGGUGACAGCUGUAGGUCAUGGAACUGCAUGYAUCCAACUCCUGCUGAGCCACACACCUCGUGUGACUUCUCACCACUGGAAGGGGCUUUGGACUGGGGGAAGCCAGGUGAGAUCAGCUGAGACUCUCAGCAAGUACCUCUGUCAGCAUAAUUGAACCUCUGACGUCUGAACAAGCUCACAGAAGGAGYGAUCACCAUCCACCUUCUGUGUCUGAGUUCACCCUUUUCUACUGUGCUGUAGAUAUCUGCUGGUAUCUGUCAGUUAAUUAAAGCRGAGUUUUCCAAAAGCAGUGAUUGUGCUUCAGACAAAUUAUCAUGUUUUAUAAUGAU